GAAAGAGAGAGAGAGAGAGAUUGGUUUGCCAACCGAAAGUUUGGACAGCUCCUCAGAACUACAAAGGUCCAAGAUCUUUUUUUUUUGGUUUUCCAAGACAGGAUUGCUCUGUGGCUUUGGAGGUUGUCCUGAAGCUCACUCUGUAGACCAGGCUGGCCUCGAACUCACAGAGAUCUGCCUGCCUCUGUCUCCCGAGUGCUGGCAUUAAAGGCGUGCAUCACCAACGCCCAGCCCCGCCCUAAGAGCUUUUGGAGUUCUACAAGCAAAAGUAUUUAAACCCACAGUCACUUAGGAAACUCAAGUAUAUGUUCGGAACAGAGAAAAACAGGUGUAGUGGCUCGUGCCUAUAGUGUCAGCCAGCGAGUUCAAGGCCAAUUAGAGCGAAGUAUCUCAACGAAUAAAUCACUAGGAAAAAAGUGGAAGAAACCCACAUAUCUGUCAACUUUGAACUGAAUAAAUAAAUGUGACAUACCCUCCCAAUGGAAUAUUAUUGGCCAUUAAAAAUUAAGCAACCAGGCAUGUAAACCACAACAUGAGGAAGCCUUGGAAUGUAAGGGAAAGGAGCAGACCCAAAAGGCAGACUAGGGUAUGAUCCCAUUAGUCUGCAACGUCCAGCCAAAGCAAAUUCCUCACGCUAGAAAACGGAUUGGUGGCUUCGCGUUGAAGAAGUCUGGUUGUUAAUAAGCGCGUGGCUAGUCAAGGGAGUGACAACUGUGUUAGCCAGCUUCCUGUCACUGAAAUAACCGAGGGGAUAAACGUGAAAAGAGGAAAACCUUAUUUAGGUCCCUGGCUUCCAGAAGUGCGGGUCCAUAUCUGGUAUUGCGUGGACCGGUCGAUCGUGCCCCGUUGCUGCAGAGAGAAUGGGGUGGGGGGAGUGUGCACAGCUCAUGGCGGGCGGAAGCAGAGAGAGGAACAGGAAGGGGGGUUGCCUCCAGUGACCCCACUUUCAGACGAGGGCGGGCUCGUCCAGAGUGGACUGGCCAUCCUCAGGGUCUUGCCUGCAGGGGCUGCCUCCUGACCUGCCAGAGUUGAAGACCCACGUGAAGAGGAGGCUUAUCCGAGCCACAGCGAAACAUUCCAGAAUUGGAGCAAGCUGGUGGUGCACGCCUUUAAUCCCAGGACACGGAAGACAGAGGCCACCUCUGCCUUGGCAGCUGAAGGUACCCUCAAACAGAGAAACGACUUACAAGAUGAGGUAGCAGCCGCUCAUUGCUGUGCCACGUGCGCGACAUUGCGUGGGGCCUGGAAGCCGGCAGGGAGCAGUGCACACGUUGUCCUCACCCUGUGGCUUCACGGGCCUGGAGAUUCCCAAGAGCAGGCUUGGCAGCGGCCACUAACACCUUGAGAUAACAGCGGGGAUCCCAGGGUCCCUCCCUGUUAGGAGAGUCUGCCGGUGUGUGUGAAAGCUGUGUUUUUAACACGCACACAGCUGGUUCUGGUGAGCAGCCACGGGUGGGGCAUGCAGGCCUGGGAUAUCCUCCCACAAUACCCGUGGCUGUUUAUCUCUGUAUGUGUACAUGUAAGUAUACAUGUGUAUAUGUGUGUUCGUGUGCAUGAGUGCGUACAUGUGUGGGGGCCUCCUCAUUGUGCAGGCACACGUGGAAUAAUACAUUUAUAAAUUGUA